GCAGACGUUGGUCACCGCCUCCAGUCACAGCACAGCGCCUGCCACAGCCCGCUUGCAGAGGGCGGGGGCGAGGCAAUUACUCGGAAAACCGCAGGCAAAACUCCCACGGAGCCACAGGGAAGUUUUUUUUUUUUUUUUUUUCCAAAGAGAAAGCUCUGAUGUGACAGUGUGGUGGCAAGAAUCUUAUCCAGUCUCAUCUUCCAACUCCUAUCACAACCCACCCCUGAGAAGCUGCUGCCCGGCAGCUGAGAGCACGGUUUGCACCAUGUGAAAAUGAGAGUGAAACCCCCGGGGGCGGCCCGCUGAAAUAUGUGCAAAAUGAAAGAAGCCCUCCCCAAGGCCUGCAGAGUUUCUUCCUUCUCUUCAAUCUGCAAAGCACCGGAUUUCACUGCUGCCAGAGAAAAAUACCAGGGUCAGCGUCGCGGGCCCUGCGGCCUUCCAAAUGGAUCAUCCUUCGAGUUAGUCAGAGCCGCCUUGCACACACUCCUGUAUUUCACAGAUCCGGAAAUGUGUGGUCUCGGCUAGUUUCCUCCUGGAUCCUUGAAGCGCCC
ensembl:lncRNA